UGGGGAAUAUUGCACAAUGGGCGCAAGCCUGAUGCAGCCAUGCCGCGUGUAUGAAGAAGGCCUUCGGGUUGUAAAGUACUUUCAGUCGGGAGGAAGGUGGUAAGGUUAAUAACCUUAUCAAUUGACGUUACCGACAGAAGAAGCACCGGCUAACUCCGUGCCAGCAGCCGCGGUAAUACGGAGGGUGCAAGCGUUAAUCGGAAUUACUGGGCGUAAAGCGCACGCAGGCGGUUGAUUGAGUCAGAUGUGAAAUCCCCGGGCUUAACCCGGGAAUUGCAUCUGAUACUGGUCAGCUAGAGUCUUGUAGAGGGGGGUAGAAUUCCAUGUGUAGCGGUGAAAUGCGUAGAGAUGUGGAGGAAUACCGGUGGCGAAGGCGGCCCCCUGGACAAAGACUGACGCUCAGGUGCGAAAGCGUGUGGAGCAAACAGG
rnacentral:rRNA from 1 species